UUGAAAUAAACGGUUCUACCCUUCUAUCAUUAUGUAAAGAUAAAGAAUAAUAUAUUGUUUCCUUUGUUGGUGAUGGCGACGAUGGUGAGCUCCGAUAACGGCGACGAUGGUGAGCUCUGACAACAGCGACGAUGGUGAGCACCGAUAAUGGCGACGAUGGUGAGCUCCGACAACGGCGACGAUGGUAACCUCCGACAAUGUCGAUGAGCUCCGUUAAUAGUAACGACGAUGUGGGCAGCGGUGAAUCGUGAGAGUGAUGGCUCAUCUUCUCCCUCCUCUUAUCACUCACUGAUUUCUCCGAUCUUUGUUUUUAUCCAAUGAUCUCACAACUCUAAAAAAAUAGAGGUGAAUCGUUAUGUAGUGCUAAAUAAUGCAAUUUAAAAAUAAAUAUUUCCAGAUUACAUCUCAAAACAUUUAUCACUGUGAGUUUGAUUUUUGUGCU
rnacentral:sRNA from 1 species